GACGAACGCUGGCGGCGUGCUUAACACAUGCAAGUGGUGCGACGAACCAGGCUUCGGCCUGGGGCAGAGCCGCGAACGGGUGAGUAACGCGUGGGCAGCCUGCCCUGUUGAUCGGGACAACCCGGGGAAACCCGGGCUAAUACCGAAUGUGGUGCCGGCUCAUGAGAGCCGUCACGAACGGAAGCUUCGGCCUCCGCGACAGGAUGGGUCCGCGGCCCAUUGGCUUGUUGGUGGGGUAAUGGCCUAGCAAGGCAACGAUGGGUAGCUGGUCUGAGAGGACGAUCAGCCACACUGGGACUGAGACACGGACCAGACUCCUACGGGAGGCUGCAGUGGGGAAUCUUGCGCAAUGAGCGACAGCUUGACGCGGCAACGCCGCGUGGGGGAAGAAGGCUUUCGUGUCGUAAACCUCUGUUGUUAGGGAAGAACAAGUGCUAGUUGAAUAAGCUGGCACCUUGACGGUACCUAACCAGAAAGCCACGGCUAACUACGUGCCAGCAGCCGCAGUAA
rnacentral:rRNA from 1 species